GAUGAACGCUGGCGGCGUGCUUAACACAUGCAAGUCGAACGAAGCACUUUAUUUGAUUUCCUUCGGGACUGAUUAUUUUGUGGCUGAGUGGCGGACGGGUGAGUAACUCGUGGGUAACCUGCCUUGUACAGGGGGAUAACAGUUGGAAACGGCUGCUAAUACCGCAUAAGCGCACAGCAUCGCAUGAUGCAGUGUGAAAAACUCCGGUGGUAUAAGAUGGACCCGCGUUGGAUUAGCUAGUUGGUGAGGUAACGGCCCACCAAGGCGACGAUGCAUAGCCGACCUGAUAGGGUGACCGGCCACAUUUGGACUGAGACACGGCCCAAACUCCUACGGGAGGCAGCAGUGGGGAAUAUUGCACAAUGGGCGAAAGCCUGAUGCAGCGACGCCGCGUGAGCGAAGAAGUAUUUCGGUAUGUAAAGCUCUAUCAGCAGGGAAGAUAAUGACGUUACCUGACGAAGAAGCACCGGCUAAAUACGUG
rnacentral:rRNA from 1 species